GAACAUUCCAGCAUUUGCUCCAGUUUUGCUGCUUGCAACAUCCGAUGUGUGUCACGCAGAUCUCCCAACAGAGAUAAAAGAAUUGUUUAUUGAUGAUUAUGAAGAAGUUUUCAAAAUCCAGUUGCCUAAUGAGGAAGAAAGAAGAAUGUUUUUUUGAGGACUUAAUUGUAAAUCAAGCUGCUAAAGCUCCUGCAUCAAAAAACAGUGCAGCGUGGCGGCCAUUGGAAGUGCUGCCUGUAGCACCACCGCCUAAGCCUCAACAGCUGACUGAGGAAGAAAUCAACCAACUGGAGGAGCAGGAGGAGGACACAUUGCGUGAACUUAG